rnacentral:rRNA from 1 species
ACUGCUCAGUAACACGUGGAUAACCUGCCCUUAGGUUCGGCAUAACUCCGGGAAACUGGAGAUAAUUCCGAAUAAACCAUUCAUGCUGGAAUGCUUUUUGGUUCAAAGACUUCGGUUGCCUAAGGAUGGAUCUGCGGUCUAUCAGGUAGUAGUGGGUGUAAGGUACCUACUAGCCUACGACGGAUAUGGGUUGUGAGAGCAAGAGCCCAGAGAUGGAUUCUGAGACAUGAAUCCAGGCCCUACGGGGCGCAGCAGGCGCGAAAACUUUACAAUGCGGGAAACCGCGAUAAGGGGAUACCGAGUGCCAGCAUAUUAUGUUGGCUGUCCACAUGUGUAAACGGCAUGUGUUAGCAAGGGCCGGGCAAGACCGGUGCCAGCCGCCGCGGUAACACCGGCGGCCCGAGUGGUAAUCACUUUUAUUGGGUCUAAAGGGUCCGUAGCCGGUUUGAUCAGUUCUUCGGGAAAUCUGACAGCUCAACUGUUAGGCUUCCGGGGAAUACUGUCAGACUUGGGACCGGGAGAGGUAAGAGGUACUACAGGGGUAGGAGUGAAAUCUUGUAAUCCCUGUGGGACCACCAGUGGCGAAGGCGUCUUACCAGAACGGGUCCGACGGUGAGGGACGAAAGCUGGGGGCACGAACCGGAUUAGAUACCCGGGUAGUCCCAGCCGUAAACGAUGUUCGCUAGGUGUCAGGGACGGUGCGACCGUUUCUGGUGCCGUAGGGAAGCCGUGAAGCGAACCACCUGGGAAGUACGGCCGCAAGGCUGAAACUUAAAGGAAUUGGCGGGGGAGCAC